rnacentral:rRNA from 1 species
UACGGAGGGUGCGAGCGUUGUCCGGACUCACUGGGCGUAAAGGGCGCGUAGGCGGCCGCGUAAGUCACUUGUGAAAUCCCGGGGCUCAACUCCGGGGCCGCAGGUGAGACUGCGUGGCUAGAGCACGGUAGAGGCGAGUGGAAUUCCAAGUGUAGCGGUGAAAUGCGUAGAGAUUUGGAGGAACACCAGUGGCGAAGGCGACUUUCUGGUCUGUAACUGACACUGAGGCGCGAAAGCGUGGGGAGCGAACAGG